GAUGAACGCUGGCGGCGUGCUUAAUACAUGCAAGUCGAACGAAGCACCUUGGACAGAAUCCUUCGGGAGGAAGACCAUUGUGACUGAGUGGCGGACGGGUGAGUAACGCGUGGGUAACCUGCCUUGUACAGGGGGAUAACAGUUGGAAACGACUGCUAAUACCGCAUAAGCGCACAGUACCGCAUGGUACGGUGUGAAAAACUCCGGUGGUACAAGAUGGACCCGCGUCUGAUUAGCUAGUUGGUGAGGUAACGGCCCACCAAGGCGACGAUCAGUAGCCGACUUGAGAGAGUGAUCGGCCACAUUGGGACUGAGACACGGCCCAAACUCCUACGGGAGGCAGCAGUAGGGAAUAUUGCACAAUGGGGGAAACCCUGAUGCAGCGACGCCGCGUGAAGGAAGAAGUAUUUCGGUAUGUAAACUUCUAUCAGCAAGGAAGAAAAUGACGGUACUUGACUAAGAAGCCCCGGCUAAAUACGUG
rnacentral:rRNA from 1 species